UGCCGAGGUUUUCCUCAGUAGUUAACUGCAGCCGGUUUUAGACUUCCUCGGUAGUUAACUGCAGCAGAGCAU
rnacentral:pre_miRNA from 1 species